rnacentral:lncRNA from 1 species
GUUAGACCUUGCGGGCUCUCUGCCUCCCACCCCUUCUUUUCCAUCCGCGUAAAGGAACUGGGCGCCCCCUCUCCCUCCCUCCCUGGGGCGCAGGUUUCGCCGCGGACUCCGCGCUCAGCUUGGGAGACACGGCAGGGGCGCGCCCCAGGGAAAGGCGGCCGUAAAAGUUUCGCGGUUGAGCACUGGGCCUGAUGUCCAGUCCCCCCACCAAAUUACUCCUGCAAAGACGCGGGCUUCUUGCAAUUGAGCCCCCCACCUCGAGGUAUUUAAAACCACCCCAAGGCACACACGGACCCCCGUUCCCCCGCGCCACUUCCUCCUACAGGCUCGCGCGGCGCGUUAAAGUCUGGGAGACACGAGUUGCGGGGAAACAGCACCGGAAGAGCCCGGGCUUGUAAAAUGCGAAUCAAUGAAUACGAAAUAAGGGCAACCGCGAGGCAGCGCCGGGAAGGGCUGGAGCGCGCGGGGGUGCAGGGAGUCCCUCCCUGGGCGCCGCAACGGCACCUCCUCCCUUUCCCGGCUCCGUCCCGCCCUCCCUCGGCCUCUGCGGACGCGACCCACGCAGACCACAGCCGAGCCCGCCGGACCCCGGGACUACGGAAGCCAUCCCGUCCGGCCACCCACACCCGCGCCGCGGCUGGGGCUUGGGUUGGGGACUGUGGCGGCGAAGAAGCCGGGGCAUACAACUUAGGAUUCAUAACUACAUAUAUACGGAUAGAAGUGCAUGAACAGAAAAUCUGCCCUUCUGGAAUACCAAAUGCAAAAUUAAAGUGACUACAAGCAGAAUUUGGAGAAAAAAAUAAAAGAUGCAAUAUAGUUUUUAAAAUCAUUGUUAAAAUAUAAUGAGUCUGUACUUUGCUUAAACAAUAAAAAAGUCUUCGAUUUAUA